UACGAGGGGGGCGAGCGUUGUUCGGAAUUAUUGGGCGUAAAGGGUGCGUAGGCGGUUUGGUAAGUCUUAUGUGAAAUCUACAGGCUCAACUUGUAGUCUGCAUGAGAAACUGCCGGGCUUGAGUAUGGGAGAGGUGAGUGGAAUUCCUGGUGUAGCGGUGAAAUGCGCAGAUAUCGGGAAGAACACCCGUGGCGAAGGCGGCUCUCUGGGACGGUACUGACGCUGAGACGCGAAAGCGUGGGGAGCGAACAGG
rnacentral:rRNA from 1 species